rnacentral:rRNA from 1 species
CAGGCUUAACACAUGCAAGUCGAGGGGCAGCAUGGUCUUAGCUUGCUAAGGCCGAUGGCGACCGGCGCACGGGUGAGUAACACGUAUCCAACCUGCCGUCUACUCUUGGACAGCCUUCUGAAAGGAAGAUUAAUACAAGAUGGCAUCAUGAGUCCGCAUGUUCACAUGAUUAAAGGUAUUCCGGUAGACGAUGGGGAUGCGUUCCAUUAGAUAGUAGGCGGGGUAACGGCCCACCUAGUCUUCGAUGGAUAGGGGUUCUGAGAGGAAGGUCCCCCACAUUGGAACUGAGACACGGUCCAAACUCCUACGGGAGGCAGCAGUGAGGAAUAUUGGUCAAUGGGCGAGAGCCUGAACCAGCCAAGUAGCGUGAAGGAUGACUGCCCUAUGGGUUGUAAACCUCUUUUAUAAAGGAAUAAAGUCGGGUAUGGAUACCCGUUUGCAUGUACUUUAUGAAUAAGGAUCGGCUAACUCCGUGCCAGCAGCCGCGGUAAUACGGAGGAUCCGAGCGUUAUCCGGAUUUAUUGGGUUUAAAGGGAGCGUAGAUGGAUGUUUAAGUCAGUUGUGAAAGUUUGCGGCUCAACCGUAAAAUUGCAGUUGAUACUGGAUAUCUUGAGUGCAGUUGAGGCAGGCGGAAUUCGUGGUGUAGCGGUGAAAUGCUUAGAUAUCACGAAGAACUCCGAUUGCGAAGGCAGCCUGCUAAGCUGCAACUGACAUUGAGGCUCGAAAGUGUGGGUAUCAAACAGGAUUAGAUACCCUGGUAGUCCACACGGUAAACGAUGAAUACUCGCUGUUUGCGAUAUACUGCAAGCGGCCAAGCGAAAGCGUUAAGUAUUCCACCUGGGGAGUACGCCGGCAACGGUGAAACUCAAAGGAAUUGACGGGGGCCCGCACAAGCGGAGGAACAUGUGGUUUAAUUCGAUGAUACGCGAGGAACCUUACCCGGGCUUAAAUUGCAGAUGAAUUACGGUGAAAGCCGUAAGCCGCAAGGCAUCUGUGAAGGUGCUGCAUGGUUGUCGUCAGCUCGUGCCGUGAGGUGUCGGCUUAAGUGCCAUAACGAGCGCAACCCUUGUUGUCAGUUACUAACAGGUUCCGCUGAGGACUCUGACAAGACUGCCAUCGUAAGAUGUGAGGAAGGUGGGGAUGACGUCAAAUCGGCACGGCCCUUACGUCCGGGGCUACACACGUGUUACAAUGGGGGGUACAGAGGGCCGCUACCACGCGAGUGGAUGCCAAUCCCCAAAACCUCUCUCAGUUCGGACUGGAGUCUGCAACCCGACUCCACGAAGCUGGAUUCGCUAGUAAUCGCGCAUCAGCCACGGCGCGGUGAAUACGUUCCCGGGCCUUGUACACACCGCCCGUCAAGCCAUGGGAGCCGGGGGUACCUGAAGUGCGUAACCGCGAGGAGCGCCCUAGGGUAAAACUGGUGACUGGGGC